rnacentral:rRNA from 1 species
AUGGUUGAAGAAACAAAGAAGAAGUUUAGUAGAGAUUACUUGACAUGGACAGAUGGGAUGGAUAAGGUAUUGUUGGAUGUCUUUGUUGAACAUCACAACAGAGGUGAUCAGGGCCAAAAUGGAUGGAAGCCACAUGUGUACAAUGAUGCUAUAAAGGCAAUACAUGAUAAGUGCGGACUACAUGUCACAAAGGAGAAAAUAUGUUCAAGGAUGAAAACUUUUGACAAGCAUUGUGCUACAAUUAGCAAGAUUCUUUCUCGGAGCGGGUUUGGUUGGGAUUGGGUCAAUAACAAGCUACUCAUGGAUAGUGAUGAUGUGUGGAACAAAUAUGUCCAGAAUUGGGAGGCAAUAUUAACACUAUACUCCAAAGAUCAAGCAACCGGUGAUGGUGCAAUGACAGGUGCUGAAAGUGCAGCGCAACCAAUAGAACUAGAUGAAGUAGUCGUCGAAGCCUCUCCGGAAUUGCCACCAAAAAGGCAGCGAAUAGGUGAUGCUAUCUUGUGCAUGCUUGGAGAAAUGAAGGGUUCUUUUCAAGAUGCUAUGAAAUCACUUGAGCCCCUAGAACUGCCCAAGGUUACUCCUCCUCUUGAAAUACUUGCUGCCCUUGAAAAGAUCCCAGAUUUGGCUCGUUCAGACAUGUUACGAGCAUAUGGCAAACUCAUCCUUAGUGAACGUUUAUUCCAAGCGCUUAUGGAGUUACCCAUGGAGUUUAGGAAGGAGUGGCUGUUGAUGCUCAACGAUAAGAACAAUGUUUGA